AAAGAACCAGAUUCUGAUCCUGGGCAGGCUCCCUUUCCUUUACAUAUCUUAAUGUGACCAUCCAUAAAAUGAGGGAAAUGAGAGUGCCAUCUCAUAGGCUCAUGGCAAGUUAAAUGACUUGGUGUGUGUGCGUGUGUGUAUACACACACACACACACACAUAUAUACACAUAAUAUAUAUGUUAUAUAUACA
rnacentral:snoRNA from 1 species